rnacentral:rRNA from 1 species
GACGUAGGGUGCAAGCGUUGUCCGGAAUUAUUGGGCGUAAAGAGCUCGUAGGCGGUCUGUUACGUCUGCUGUGAAAACCCAGGGCUUAACCCUGGGCUUGCAGUGGAUACGGGCAGACUAGAGGCAGGUAGGGGAGAAUGGAAUUCCCGGUGUAGCGGUGAAAUGCGCAGAUAUCGGGAGGAACACCGGUGGCGAAGGCGGUUCUCUGGGCCUGACCUGACGCUGAGGCGCGAAAGCGUGGGGAGCAAACAGG